rnacentral:rRNA from 1 species
CGGCGGAUGGGUGAGUAUCACGUGGGCAACCUGCCUGUAAGAUUGGGAUAACUCGCGGAAACGUGAGCUAAUACCGAAUGAAGUCUUUCACCACCUGGUGAAAGGAUGAAAGAUGGCUUUUAGCUAUCACUUACAGAUGGGCCCGCGGCGCAUUAGCUAGUUGGUGGGGUAAAGGCCUACCAAGGCGACGAUGCGUAGCCGACCUGAGAGGGUGAUCGGCCACACUGGGACUGAGACACGGCCCAGACUCCUACGGGAGGCAGCAGUAGGGAAUCUUCCGCAAUGGACGAAAGUCUGACGGAGCAACGCCGCGUGAGUGAUGAAGGUCUUCGGAUCGUAAAACUCUGUUGUCAGGGAAGAACAAGUUGUGUUCUAACAGGACAUGACCUUGACGGUACCUGACCAGAAAGCCCCGGCUAACUACGUGCCAGCAGCCGCGGUAAUACGUAGGGGGCAAGCGUUGUCCGGAAUUAUUGGGCGUA